UUUGAGCUUUAGAAGUUUCGAAAUUAGGGUUAUCAAAUGUAUUCAAUUAGCUUAGGAAAGAGAGAGAGGGUGAGAUGAAAAACGAUAAUAAGGAGUCAGACCACUAUUUAAUGUAAUUCAAAUCUACAUUCUAUUAGGAGUAGGAUUAAUAUGAGCCGUUGGAUUUUUUCGGUUGAUUGUAAGGUCAUUUUUACCCCUUUCACGUUUUUUAUCUUAUUUAUUUUAUUCCCACAUUCUUCUCAACGAACUGGUUACUGGUUACUGGUUACUGGUUACUGGUUACUGUUACAAAUCGUCGGCGAACUCAUCGAUUCCUUCCAACGAUUCCUUCAGUUUCUUUUCCGUUGCUAUGUUCAAAUAGCUCAUUAAUUUCCACAAACAGAUAUGGCGACUAUACAGUUCUGCGUCACCUUAUUGAGUAGAUUUGAGUGGUGGUGGGGAUAAUUAGGCAGAUGUGAGAGUUUUGGAAGAUUUCGAACUUGGCGAUUAUUAUUCAAGACAAGGGUUUCGGUUGAUUUCUAGGUGGGUGAUGUCAUGUGGGAGCCACUAUUGACAUAUGCAUUUGUUCAUUUGUUAAUAAGAGAAUGUAAAUGUAGUUGCCAAUGUAAAUGUUAAUAUGAAUAGUGAUCUCCUUAAAGAAAGACUUGCUUGUACUCUGGCUUAGUUGCUAUAGUUGAACUUGAAGAAUCUAUGUUUUGGCAUGCACUAGAACUAGAAUCCAUCAAUUCUCAAAUGAGAUGAAUAGAAUCCAUCCGGACCUAAACACUCCACAAGCCUUUGAACUCGAUAUUCCAAAAAUACAUCUUUAAUAUCUGAGCCAACUUUGAGUUCUUCCAUAUUGCCAAACAGAAGAAUAUCUCCUAAUGAGCAGAACAUGGAUUUAGACUCUGUAACUAUCUUCAGGACUUGCGAAGCCACUUCAGUUAUUGCAACAUUUGUGGGUGCACAAAGAAGAGUUCUGUAGUUCAUUUUUAAGAGGGAAACAAGAAGAGUAGCAUUGGCUUUCGUCUUUCCUGUCCCAGGCGGACCCCAUAUAAGCUCAAAAGCAUCUCUGCUCUUGCAGUGCAUCAUGUGACGACAAGCAAGAACUGCACUAGUCUGAGACUCAUUCAUAUUGGAAGAUAGACUCUUCACUAACUUCACCUCACAUCUGCAACAAUUCUCCUCAGGACAGGUAAAUGAAUUGAAACAGAUUGAAGCAUGGUUAAUGGAAACACAUUCUAGUUAAAAAGCUUACCCAUGAACGAUUACUUAGAACAUAUUUAAGCAAAUCAAGAUUGCAUGACAUAUGCAAUGCCUUCCAAACUGUUAGACCCUGCGAUUAGUAUGGUGGGCUAGCAUAUAUUAAAUAGAAGGGUAUUUGAGUCUUUGUUUAGAGGGUAGUGUUUAGGAGAAAAUACAAUAGUAUAUAUAGGUGAGUAAGAUAAUAGAGAGGGGGUAAUGUAUUGAGUAAAUUUCUAUUUGCACCAAAGGGGCCUAAGGGCUCCCUUACUUUGUAAUUGGGUUUCUCAUACAUUCAAUAUACAUUUCCUAUUGUUUUGCUACUGUUCUAUUCCUAUUAUUGCUGCUGUUUGUGCUA